AGAGAGGUGGCCGAGUGGCUUAAGGCGCACGCUUGGAAAGCGUGUAUAUGGGUAACUAUAUCGAGGGUUCGAAUCCCUUCCUCUCUGC
rnacentral:tRNA from 1 species